UGACACUGACGCUCAUGCACGAAAGCGUGGGGAGCAAACAGGUAUUAGAUACCCUGGUAGUCCACGCCCUAAACGAUGUCAACUAGCUGUUGGGGCCUUCGGGCCUUAGUAGCGCAGCUAACGCGUGAAGUUGACCGCCUGGGAAGUACGGUCGCAAGAUUAAAACUCAAAGGAAUUGACGGGGACCCGCACAAGCGGUGGAUGAUGUGGAUUAAUUCGAUGCAACGCGAAAAACCUUACCUACCCUUGACAUGUCUGGAAUCCCGAAGAGAUUUGGGAGUGCUCGCAAGAGAACUGGAACACAGGUGCUGCAUGGCUGUCGUCAGCUCGUGUCGUGAGAUGUUGGGUUAAGUCCCGCAACGAGCGCAACCCUUGUCAUUAGUUGCUACGAAAGGGCACUCUAAUGAGACUGCCGGUGACAAACCGGAGGAAGGUGGGGAUGACGUCAAGUCCUCAUGGCCCUUAUGGGUAGGGCUUCACACGUCAUACAAUGGUCGGGACAGAGGGUUGCCAACCCGCGAGGGGGAGCUAAUCUCACAAACCCGAUCGUAGUCCGGAUUGCAGUCUGCAACUCGACUGCAUGAAGUCGGAAUCGCUAGUAAUCGCGGAUCAGAAUGUCUCGGUGAAUACGUUCCCGGGUCUUGUACACACCGCCCGUCACACCAUGGGAGUGGGUUUCACCAGAAGUAGUUAGCCUAAACCGCAAGGGGGGGCGAUUACCACGGUGGGAUUCAUGACUGGGGGUGAAGUCGUAACA
rnacentral:rRNA from 1 species